CUCGCCUGGACAUGUCACCGUCGUUAGUUAGUUAGUUAGCUAGUUCAUUAUCACAAAACUGAGAACGGCUCUAGAUUGGAAACUUACGUUAAUGAGUGUAAAGCCAUGUUGGCUUUAUGGAAACGAUAAACAAUAUAUGGGAACGAAUAUAGUUGAGGGAAAUAAUCCAAACCUAGUUGUGCAUAGUUAGGACAUAAUGUUAUCUAGCUAGAUAACGGUACUGUACUGUAGCUCAUACAACGCCGACGGUCAAACCCGGGUUUCUAAUAUUUACCUUAAUCAACUAUAGUAACGUUAUGGAAGAUAUUCACAGAAAACCAUAAUUGUCGUCGUUAUUUAUCAUUAGUAUCUUAUAUUAUUAUAAUACAUUAUUUCGAGACAUAUUCAGAACCCAACUGUUGUCGCAUCCAAACUGUUGUCGCAUCCAAACCAUCGUUGUCACCAUCGUUUUCAGUUGUAAUUGCGAAGUUCCCGGAAGAAGUCCAGCAACAACGGAGGUUCCUCGAUGAACCCACCUUCUAACAUGUUCUUUGAAGAACCUUUUGGGGCUGUUUUUCAUUGACCAAGAACCCUAUGGUUCUUAGGGGAUCUCAGAACAACUCCAGUUGAACCCUGUAUUUUUAGAGUUGUAGUCAGACCCAUUUACUCUCAGAUUCAAAACAUGCUGAUUAGCAUCAACGACCAAGUCAGCUGCUGCUGCUCCAACACAGUAUAAGCCUUCCUCUCCUCUGAAGACCCAGUGAGGGUGGAGCUCAGUCAGAGAGCUGUUGAGGGACUGGUUAGGAAGAACACUUCUACAGCCAGAGAGGGGCAGUCAAGAAAUGGAAUGGCAAGGCCACAGAACAUGACAUAAGCAGAGCUGUGGGAGACCAUCUCAAGCCUCUGGUAGAGCCGGGGGUGGUGUUUACCACUCCACCACACUGGAAAAGUGGGAUUGAUCCGUUUGUUUCAGUUUGCAGUAGUUGAAUCCUUUCACAUGGGAUUGAUACUGAUUUUCAUACUAAGAGGGAUCAAGAGUCUGUCGAUUGGUCGGUCAUUGGGUUCAUUUGUUGAAAUCAAAUCAAGCUUUAUUUGUACAGCACAUUUCAGACAUGAAUGCAACACAAUGGCUUCACAGGCAAAAAACAAAUGAAAAUGAACAGAAAUAUUUAGUACACAACAAACAGAAGACUAAUGAGCACCCUAAGAAAAUGCCAUUGAUUAAAAUAUUAAUUGGAUGCAAUAUCCAAACCCCAAAAAAGAAAAACUCACACCAAACUUAAAGACAGGAAGCAAACCAAAAAGGUGGAGCAACUAAAUGCAACACUUAUUUUUCAUCACCCAUCGAUAUCAUGCUAAAAUCAUUUGUCCGAGAGGAGAGAGAUGAGGUUGCACGUCCUGUUAAAACUAACAGCUCAAAAACCACACGGAAUCUGGGAGUAAUGUCUACAUCCCUGGUUAGAGGAUAAUUUGUAAAAAAACAGCUAGCUACAUUUUGAAGUGUUGCAUUUUGACUCAAGUGGGUCACCAACAUGGUAAGUGUAACACAGCUCUUUUUGUGUUAGUCACUUUUUGUUAAAUCACAUAAAUAGUACUCUUCCAUUUCAGAGCCUGGAUUUUCCCCCUGAGGCUAAUAUCCAUAUCAUGUUGAAAUCAAAUGAUAAGGGGGCAAACGUUUAGGCUUCUACAUUGUGACAUUAUUCAAAUACUCCUACUAAAGUGUUAACAUUCAACAUUAAUUCAUUGAUAUCAUGAAACAACUCUUUCAUGUAUUUUCUGAUGUUUGAUCAGACACCUUUUAUCAGAGUAUCUCUUGUCACAUUGAUUACAGCUAUAAGGUUUCUCUCCUGUGUGUGUUCUCUGGUGAAUUUUAAUGCCUGAGGAGGUGAAUCUCUCCCCACAGUCAGAGCAGCAGUGAGUUCUCUUCCCUGUGGAUCUCUGCAGGUGUUUGAGGUGUUCUGAUCUGGAGAGACUCUUCUCUGCCUCUUCAGCAUCAUGAGGUUGUUGAGGCUCCCCAGAGGAUCCACGAUAGUCCCGCAUCUCUCCUGUGUGAACAACAAAGUCAGACAGAUGACUAAAGGCCCACAACAGAGGUAAUCCAUUGUAAAAGGUGAUGCAAACAGCGUAGCCAUGAUGUUGUACAGCAAUUGACGUCUGUAAUCAAUGUUAACAUUACUUGACAAUUGUCUUAAAAUGAGCAAGAAAAGUCAUAUUUUGUCUUGUUUUCACAUUAGUAGUAACAUCGAUGAUUGUCGGCUAGAAAUAGGAUAUUCAUGUUGUUGAAACUCUAAACAGCGUGCCAGACGACUUUGGUCUCCAAGGCCCCCUUCUGUGUUUGCUAAAAUUGCGUCACCAGGGCAAUUUGAUUACAGAAACGCCUCCCUGCUAAUGAGGAAACCAAUAGUUAUGAUUGUACUAUAUCUGCCUGGAGCAAAAAUGGUGAGCUAAGAUUUGAGUUUUUCACAAUGUAUUCUGAAUAUGAAUGGGGGAAAACUCAGGGGAGUAACCUCCAUUUCCAGGUUGCUUA
ensembl:lncRNA